GGGUUGUGAGGUUAAGCGACUAAGCGUACACGGUGGAUGCCCUGGCAGUCAGAGGCGAUGAAGGACGUGCUAAUCUGCGAUAAGCGUCGGUAAGGUGAUAUGAACCGUUAUAACCGGCGAUUUCCGAAUGGGGAAACCCAGUGUGAUUCGUCACACUAUCAUUAACUGAAUCCAUAGGUUAAUGAGGCGAACCGGGGGAACUGAAACAUCUAAGUACCCCGAGGAAAAGAAAUCAACCGAGAUUCCCCAGUAGCGGCGAGCGAACGGGGAGCAGCCCAGAGCCUGAAUCAGUGUGUGUGUUAGUGGAAGCGUCUGGAAAGGCGCGCGAUACAGGGUGACAGCCCCGUACACAAAAAUGCACAUAUUGUGAGCUCGAUGAGUAGGGCGGGACACGUGGUAUCCUGUCUGAAUAUGGGGGGCCCAUCCUCCAAGGCUAAAUACUCCUGACUGACCGAUAGUGAACCAGUACCGUGAGGGAAAGGCGAAAAGAACCCCGGCGAGGGGAGUGAAAAAGAACCUGAAACCGUGUACGUACAAGCAGUGGGAGCACGCUUAGGCGUGUGACUGCGUACCUUUUGUAUAAUGGGUCAGCGACUUAUAUUCUGUAGCAAGGUUAACCGAAUAGGGGAGCCGAAGGGAAACCGAGUCUUAACUGGGCGUUAAGUUGCAGGGUAUAGACCCGAAACCCGGUGAUCUAGCCAUGGGCAGGUUGAAGGUUGGGUAACACUAACUGGAGGACCGAACCGACUAAUGUUGAAAAAUUAGCGGAUGACUUGUGGCUGGGGGUGAAAGGCCAAUCAAACCGGGAGAUAGCUGGUUCUCCCCGAAAGCUAUUUAGGUAGCGCCUCGUGAAUUCAUCUCCGGGGGUAGAGCACUGUUUCGGCAAGGGGGUCAUCCCGACUUACCAACCCGAUGCAAACUGCGAAUACCGGAGAAUGUUAUCACGGGAGACACACGGCGGGUGCUAACGUCCGUCGUGAAGAGGGAAACAACCCAGACCGCCAGCUAAGGUCCCAAAGUCAUGGUUAAGUGGGAAACGAUGUGGGAAGGCCCAGACAGCCAGGAUGUUGGCUUAGAAGCAGCCAUCAUUUAAAGAAAGCGUAAUAGCUCACUGGUCGAGUCGGCCUGCGCGGAAGAUGUAACGGGGCUAAACCAUGCACCGAAGCUGCGGCAGCGACGCUUAUGCGUUGUUGGGUAGGGGAGCGUUCUGUAAGCCUGCGAAGGUGUGCUGUGAGGCAUGCUGGAGGUAUCAGAAGUGCGAAUGCUGACAUAAGUAACGAUAAAGCGGGUGAAAAGCCCGCUCGCCGGAAGACCAAGGGUUCCUGUCCAACGUUAAUCGGGGCAGGGUGAGUCGACCCCUAAGGCGAGGCCGAAAGGCGUAGUCGAUGGGAAACAGGUUAAUAUUCCUGUACUUGGUGUUACUGCGAAGGGGGGACGGAGAAGGCUAUGUUGGCCGGGCGACGGUUGUCCCGGUUUAAGCGUGUAGGCUGGUUUUCCAGGCAAAUCCGGAAAAUCAAGGCUGAGGCGUGAUGACGAGGCACUACGGUGCUGAAGCAACAAAUGCCCUGCUUCCAGGAAAAGCCUCUAAGCAUCAGGUAACAUCAAAUCGUACCCCAAACCGACACAGGUGGUCAGGUAGAGAAUACCAAGGCGCUUGAGAGAACUCGGGUGAAGGAACUAGGCAAAAUGGUGCCGUAACUUCGGGAGAAGGCACGCUGAUAUGUAGGUGAAGUCCCUUGCGGAUGGAGCUGAAAUCAGUCGAAGAUACCAGCUGGCUGCAACUGUUUAUUAAAAACACAGCACUGUGCAAACACGAAAGUGGACGUAUACGGUGUGACGCCUGCCCGGUGCCGGAAGGUUAAUUGAUGGGGUCAGCGCAAGCGAAGCUCUUGAUCGAAGCCCCGGUAAACGGCGGCCGUAACUAUAACGGUCCUAAGGUAGCGAAAUUCCUUGUCGGGUAAGUUCCGACCUGCACGAAUGGCGUAAUGAUGGCCAGGCUGUCUCCACCCGAGACUCAGUGAAAUUGAACUCGCUGUGAAGAUGCAGUGUACCCGCGGCAAGACGGAAAGACCCGUGAACCUUUACUAUAGCUUGACACUGAACAUUGAGCCUUGAUGUGUAGGAUAGGUGGGAGGCUUUGAAGUGUGGACGCCAGUCUGCAUGGAGCCGGCCUUGAAAUACCACCCUUUAAUGUUUGAUGUUCUAACGUGGACCCGUGAUCCGGGUUGCGGACAGUGUCUGGUGGGUAGUUUGACUGGGGCGGUCUCCUCCUAAAGAGUAACGGAGGAGCACGAAGGUUGGCUAAUCCUGGUCGGACAUCAGGAGGUUAGUGCAAUGGCAUAAGCCAGCUUGACUGCGAGCGUGACGGCGCGAGCAGGUGCGAAAGCAGGUCAUAGUGAUCCGGUGGUUCUGAAUGGAAGGGCCAUCGCUCAACGGAUAAAAGGUACUCCGGGGAUAACAGGCUGAUACCGCCCAAGAGUUCAUAUCGACGGCGGUGUUUGGCACCUCGAUGUCGGCUCAUCACAUCCUGGGGCUGAAGUAGGUCCCAAGGGUAUGGCUGUUCGCCAUUUAAAGUGGUACGCGAGCUGGGUUUAGAACGUCGUGAGACAGUUCGGUCCCUAUCUGCCGUGGGCGCUGGAGAACUGAGGGGGGCUGCUCCUAGUACGAGAGGACCGGAGUGGACGCAUCACUGGUGUUCGGGUUGUCAUGCCAAUGGCACUGCCCGGUAGCUAAAUGCGGAAGAGAUAAGUGCUGAAAGCAUCUAAGCACGAAACUUGCCCCGAGAUGAGUUCUCCCUGACCCUUUAAGGGUCCUGAAGGAACGUUGAAGACGACGACGUUGAUAGGCCGGGUGUGUAAGCGCAGCGAUGCGUUGAGCUAACCGGUACUAAUGAACCGUGAGGCUUAACCUUACAACGCCGAAG
rnacentral:rRNA from 1 species